GUGAGGAAUAUUGGUCAAUGGGCGAAAGCCUGAACCAGCCAUGUCGCGUGAAGGAUGAAGGUCCUAUGGAUUGUAAACUUCUUUUGCAGGAGGGUAAAGUGAGCUACGUGUAGUUCAUUGCAAGUACCCUGCGAAUAAGCAUCGGCUAACUCCGUGCCAGCAGCCGCGGUAAUACGGAGGAUGCGAGCGUUAUCCGGAUUUAUUGGGUUUAAAGGGUGCGUAGGCGGACUAAUUAGUCAGCGGUGAAAUUUUGCGGCUCAACCGUAAAACUGCCGUUGAAACUGUUAGUCUGGAGUGCGGUAGAGGUAGGCGGAAUGUGUGGUGUAGCGGUGAAAUGCUUAGAUAUCACACAGAACACCGAUUGCGUAGGCAGCUUACUGGAGCGCAACUGACGCUGAGGCACGAAAGCGUGGGGAUCGAACAGGAUUAGAAACCCUUGUAGUCC
rnacentral:rRNA from 1 species